rnacentral:snRNA from 1 species
GGAUGUGAGGGUGAUCUAGCUGAGACAUCUGUCACCCUGUUGAUCACCAGGGUUGGUUUGGCUCAUCUAGGUGUCUGGGCAGGUGUCCCCUUCCUCCCUCAUGACUUCAUGUGUGUCCUUCCCAGAGAUGUGUGCUCUGUCAAAGAUGACCUUCCCCAAACAGACAAAGCAGGGCAUAUGAGUAGCUGCACUCCCCUGCUAAACAUUGGAAUAAGCUCUCAAAGAAACCCCCAUCAAAACUCU